CAGGGCAUCUCGGAGCUUCCCGAAGGAGCCACUGCGCCGCAAGGAGCCGCUGCCGUCCUGUGGGGUGGACAGGCCUUGUACCAGCUGCCAUAUUCCCCAUAGGGGGUGCUGUCCCGGCGCUUAUCCUGGGGGAGAGAUAAGCGGAAGGUAGGAGAAGACCCUCCCCUCUACACACCCCCAGCCUCAUCCUCCCUCCACAGACAUCUGCCCCGGCCCUGCCCCGCAGAGCUACCUUGCUCUCCUCCCGUUCCUCUGCGUGCAUCCAGAUGGGCUUGUUGUUCCCUGUAGGGAGAGAGGGGGCUGUCACCAGCCUCUCAUGUGGGCCUCUGCUGGUUGGGCUGGACACAUGACUGGGGUCUGGGGGGAGGUCAGGGGUACUCAAGAAGGACCAGGGUUGGGCUUCACUGAAUGAAUGAAUCGACAAGAAACAGACCCAAAACAUGACUGACGCUCCUCUGGAACAGAGAUGCCUGUGGCACAGGCCUGUGCUUGAGGGGCCUGUGACUGGGGGGUGGGGGGAGCACACCCUUACAAACCUCAGGCCCACGGUGCGAGACGAUGCGAGGCCUGAAUGAUGGGCCGGGCCGAGGGGUCCCUGAGGAGGAAGUGACUGACCGUGAAGGACCAGAAGGUGGCUUCCCAGAGUGGGAGACAUCUGGGCUGGGCCCUCAUGGUGAGCGUGAGUUGCCCAGUGGAGAAAGGGGAAGAGGCUCUGGGCCGAGGGCACGGGUAUGCAAAGGGAGGGCAUUGCACAGGUACAACCUCCCAGGGGGCUGUGUGAGUUGGGUGUGUGUGCUCACGUGUGCACACAAGUGGCUGCGGACCAGCCAGACCCUAGGCGUGAGGCCUGCCCGGCUGAGGUAUUCGUCCUAGAUGCUGACAGCUGAGCGGGCCUGCGAGCUGGGGCACACAGCAGCCAUGCUCACCGCUGACAGAGCCGAACUCCUUCUCAUGAGCGCGGGGCCUCUGCUCAUGGUGUCCUUUCUGCCAAGGAGACCUUCUCCGACCCUCUUGUGCUCUGGGCAAACUCAACUUUCACCAAAGGCCCGCCUCAAGCCUUGGUGCCUGGAGAAGCUCAGGCACCCUGUGGGCUUGGCCCUCUCCAGGGACAAGAUCCUUCUUUCUCUGUCACCCAACUGCCUGGUGGAACCCGAGUCCUGGCCCACUGCAGGCACUGAGGAUUUGUGACCAGGGCUGGAGUCUUCAGGAAGAAUGCUCCCAUGGGUGACCGAAGCCGGAGGAGCCCUCACCGAUAGACCAGCGCCAGGAUGUUCAGCAUGGUGGCCACGUCAGGGUGGUCAUGGCCUGACGUCUUCUCCAGGUCCUCGAGGGCCUGCUUGCAGAGUGGCACAGCCACCUCAUAGCGGCCCUGAGAGGCGUACUGGAUCACCAGAUUGUGCAGGGUGCGGAGCCGUGCUGGGAUUUCAUAGCCCCCGUGUUGGGCAGCCACGUCUCCUCCUCCAGGGCUGGGGGCUGCAAAGCCAAGGGCGGGAGGUCAGAUGUGCCAAGUGCCUCCUGAGCUGGGCCGGCACACGCCAGCCAUACCUUUGACCGACCUCACACGUGGCCCUGGGCAAGUCACCAUUAGCUCUCGGUUUCCCCAUCUGUAGAGUGGGUCUAGUCACCCCACAAGAAGAGUGGGUAGAGUCCCAGCUCCAGUGCUUCAAGCUGUGUGUCCCAGGGCAAGUCGCCUAACCCCCGAGCCUCAGCCUCGUCACGUGCAGAAGAGAGGCUCUGAUACACAGGCCACACGAUCAGCAAGGCCAGUACUGGCCCGCGGAUCAGCACUGUGCAUGCGUCCUCCUUUAACCCUCAGAGGAGGCUCAGAGGGGAAAGAAACUCUACCAGUGGCCACAGCGCAAACGCAGGCAGAGCAGGGCUCGCACCCAGGCCGGACGGCUCCAAAGCUCUGAACUGUGAUGCCUGCUCCUCACAGAACUUGGGAGAUGAGAAAAGCAACAUGUAAAACCUGCCUUUUAAGCUCUAAUGCUGGGAUGUUAUAAUCAGAAACGAGGCAGGAGAGAACACGGCAGCCACUCAGACCUUGUUUUCUGUGACCUCUGGGUCCCAAGGACCAGGAGUUCACACAGCCUUCCUUUCCCGCCCCCAGAGCCAGCUGCCCCUCCGCACCUGGGCUCUGCUCCUCCUCACUGGGGAACAGGUCAUCCAGAGAGUCUUUGGGGACGUCCCCCUUCUCCUCCUGGGGAGGAAGACGGGAUGGGCGUCAGGGAAGCAGGCGGCCCAGGGGUCGGCGGGCUGGGUCGGAGCAGCGUCUGCUCCCUGCCGCCCCUCCCUGCUCCCAGGUGCCCCCGCCCCGCCCAGUGGCCAUGGCAGGGCUUACGCUGGCGGACGUGUCCUCGUCCAGCUUGCGGAUCUGGCUCAUGAACAGCAAGUGCUGCUUCUCCUCCUCGAGCUGGGCCACGGCCUGCUCACUGCGCUGCAGCUUCUGCUGCGUCCCUGCCAGCUCCUCCCGCAGCCACUGGUUCUCCUGCACCAGGCGCCGUACCUGAGCCCGCAGCUUCUGCUUCUCCGACUCUACGGCCCCCAGGUGGCUCGACAGCGCCAAGAUCACCUGCGCAGCCAGCCGGAACAGAGGUCAGAGCCCUGCUGACGCCCCAGCCUGGGCCCCAGAGAAGAGCCAGGCCCGGAGGAGCUGCAGGGCUGAGGACCCUGAAGUUCUCCUCUCAUCAAGGGAGUUUUGCCCCAGGGCCCCAAACAGACCAACAUAGCCUGAGACCUGAAACCAGGAGGCUUGGGGAUUCCUCAGUCCUUCCUUCUGCGGUCAGGACCCAGGCUGGCUGUGCUGGACUCUGAAAUAGCCCAUCCCCUUUCCUGGGCCUCCAGCUAGUCCUCCACAUCGAUGGUCCAGUUCCCACCUUGUUGGGGUGCUCGGAUCAUUAAGAGCGCUAGCUGGGGUGCUGCCCCUUCCCCGAGCUGUCCACUCGUUCCCCGUCUCUCCUAGGAGUUGUACUCAAGCCCUGUAGCCAGAGCCACUAUACCGCUGCCCCUGGCCCAGGGCUAGCGCUUUCCCAAAGGCCUUGAUAGACGACUGAAGGGCUACCGAAAGACCCCAUCCUGACUUCUACCAGAGAGCCAGGACAGCCCCUGUCCUCCUGCAGCUCCCAGGGAGGGAGGGGGGUGUGUGUCCUAAACCCCCAGUGUCUGGAAAACCACAGGGGCAGGUAAGGGGAUCCAGAGGCCUCAGCCUCAGCCCCCAUCCCUCUCUCCAAACUCCAUGACUCCUUUCCUGAGCUUCCAGGCUCUUCCCGCCUUGGGGCCUUGCCUAGACUCUACCCUUUCUCCGUCCUUCAUGGUCAGGGUCAUUUCUGCAGUGAAGCCUCUUAUGCCCUCAGCCCCCGGAAAGCAUGGCACCUCCCCCACCUCCAUGCCAUCCUGUUGUCCAUCUGUGCCUGUACACACUGGGAGGGGGCCCUGGUGUGCUCACCUCCGCACCUGGCAGUCAGCCGGCCGAGGAGUGAAUGCCCGACACAUUGCCCUCCCAGAGAGCCAGGCAGUCUGGGACCUUGUACUUUCUGGUUGAUUAGCAAACGCCUAAGUGACAGGUGUUUUCACAACCACUAGCUAUUUUUAAAAAUAUCCUAAACAGCCUGUCAGUAUUUACGGCAGAUGGCACGACCCCUAUUCUAAAAACAAGGAAACCAAGGGGAUACCACCUGCCCAGGACUCACAGAGCCAGGCAGUGUCUCAGCCAAGAUCUGAGUGGGCCAAGACUCUCUGCCCGAGAGUCUAACUCCUUGUACACCCCAGCACCUCCUGGAUAGCUCUGUCUGCAUGUCAUCCUGGCAGCCCCAACUUAAGAGGGCCCAAACAGAACUCCUGACCCAUCCAGGCUCUCUCCUCAAUUUCCUCAAACCACAAACCUGGGACUUUCCCUGCCCCUCUCUGUCUCCUUUAGUCCAUCCCCAGGCCCUACUGGACCUACUUCCAGAACGUCUAGGACUGACCCCCUUCUUACUACCCUCAUGGCCCAACCCACCAUUUCUCAUUGGAAUUCUAGCAGUGGCUUCCUAACACCUGCUACCUCCUUCCACCCUGACCCACAAUCGUUCAUUCUCCACCCCUCAGCCAAAGAGAGUUUUAAAAUCUAAGCCAGACUGUGUCCCUUUACUGCUUAAACCCUCCAAAGGCUUCCUGGUUUCCUGAGAAUAAAACCCAAACUAAUAAGGCACAGCAUGAUCUGGUCCCCACCUUCUCCGCAGGCCUUUUCUGUCCCUCUCUUUCCUCACGAAGCUCCAGUUAGACAGGUCUCUCAGUUCUCCCUCCACAACAAGAUCUUUUCCACUUCAGGACCUUUGUACAUGCAACCUCUCACUUUCCUCCUUUCUCUGGAGGCUGGUUCAUUCCUUUCCUCAGGUCUUGAUUUAAAUGUCAUUUCCUCAGAAGUCUUGCUUGACCAAUAGCUAAGGUUGUCACAAGAUCUUGUUUUUUUCUUUGGAGAACUUACCAUAAUAUUGAAUAAAUAUAUGUGUAUUUCUGA